rnacentral:rRNA from 1 species
UACGAAGGGGCUAGCGUUGCUCGGAAUCACUGGGCGUAAAGCGCACGUAGGCGGAUUGUAAGUCAGGGGUGAAAUCCUGGAGCUCAACUCCAGAACUGCCUUUGAUACUGGCGGUACUCGUAGUCCGGGAGAGGUGAGUGGAACUGCGAGUGUAGAGGUGAAAUUCGUAGAUAUUCGCAAGAACACCAGUGGCGAAGGCGGCUCACUGGCCCGGUACUGACGCUGAGGUGCGAAAGCGU